rnacentral:tRNA from 1 species
GGAGACAUAGCUCAGUGGUAGAGUACAUGCUUGGUGUGCACAAGGCCCUGGGUUCAAUCCCUAGUGGAUCCA